GCUCCUCGGAACCAGUCCCAUUCUGAAGAAUGGUAAUGUGGCAGUGAAGGGUGAGUGUGCUGCAACAAUGUGAUCAAAACGAGAAAUCCGUUCACUACCAGCAAAGGUCCUCCAUAGAUGCAGAACACGUACACAAGUCCUUUUGCUGCUACAAGACAGUAGAGACUGUAAAUCAUAGCUAAAAUUCCAGCAUCAGAAAUGAAAAUUUGGAGCCUCUCGCGGUCUGAGUAGAUGGGGCCAUAAGGAUCAAAGUGGCAAGCAAAUCUAUCAUAAGGCCUACCGGAUACAUUGAAUGCCAGGUACAAAGGCCAGCCAAGGGUGAGGGUGACAGUAAGUGUUAUGACUCGGCCAAGUGGGUUGUUAAGGUACUUGGCAUACCAACCAAUGGCGGUUUUUUGCUUGGGGACAAAUACUUCAUCACGAUCAAGGGAUCCUGUAUUGGAGUGAUGGCGGCGAUGGCUAUACUUCCAAGAGAAGUAGGGGACAAGGAGGCAAGAGUGGAGGAUAAGGCCAACAGUGUCGUCAAGCCAUUGAUAGUCACUGAAGGCAUGGUGGCCACAUUCAUGAGCUACAACCCAAACUCCAGUUAAAAUGCAGCCUUGAAGAGCCCAGUAAACUGGCCAGGCCAGAUAAGAGAGAGGGUGAGGAAGUUGGUGAAUGUAAGUGUCGGCAAUGUAGUAAAAGACAAAGGCAAUGGUGAGGUCAUGAACAACGUAGGAGAAUGAACGGAGAACAGACCGCUCAAAACAGUGAGGUGGGAUAGCUUUCUUUACUUGGCUGAGUGUGAAUGGUGGCUUUGAGCAUGGAACUCGCUUCAAGGGAUCAGAAUCCACCUUCAUGGGCGUUGAAGGUACAGCCAUUCGUCCACCUGCACCCAUUGUUCGUCAACCUG
rnacentral:lncRNA from 1 species